rnacentral:sRNA from 1 species
UGAACUUUUUUCCUUGUCCUCUCUUGUA